AGGAAGAAAUAAGAGAGGGCAAGCGGAUUAAAGACGAGACAAAGGAUGAAAAAGAUCUUAUGUGGGCUGUCUUUUCAACUAAUUUUCUGAUUGGUUUUCCUUUGUCUUUCG
rnacentral:ribozyme from 1 species